rnacentral:rRNA from 1 species
CUGCUCAGUAACACGUAGUUAACCUAACCUAUGGACGGGGAUAACCUCGGGAAACUGAGAAUAAUCCCCGAUAGAUCACGGUGCCUGGAAUGGCCUGUGGUCCAAAUGAUUUAUCGCCGUAGGAUGGGACUGCGGCCUAUCAGCUAGUUGGUGAGGUAAUGGCCCACCAAGGCUAUAACAGGUACGGGCUCUGAGAGGAGGGGCCCGGAGAUGGGUACUGAGACACGGACCCAGGCCCUAUGGGGCGCAGCAGGCGAGAAACCUUUGCAAUGUGCGAAAGCACGACAAGGUUAAUCCGAGUGUCUCCUGCUAAAGGAGUCUUUUGCCGGUCAUAAAACCACCGGUGAAUAAGGGGUGGGCAAGUUCUGGUGUCAGCCGCCGCGGUAAAACCAGCACCUCGAGUGGUCAGGAGGCUUAUUGGGCCUAAAGCAUCCGUAGCCGGCUGCUCAAGUUUUCGGUUAAAUCUAUGCGCUCAACGUAUAGGCCGCCGAAAAUACUGGGCAGCUAGGGAGUGGGAGAGGUACACGGUACUCAAUAGGAAGGGGUAAAAUCCUUUGAUCUAUUGAUGACCACCUGUGGCGAAGGCGGUGUACCAGAACACGUUCGACGGUGAGGGAUGAAAGCUGGGGGAGCAAACCGGAUUAGAUACCCGGGUAGUCCCAGCUGUAAACGAUGCAGACUCGGUGAUGCAUUGGCUUGUGGCCAAUGCAGUGCCGCAGGGAAGCCGUUAAGUCUGCCGCCUGGGAAGUACGUACGCAAGUAUGAAACUUAAAGGAAUUGGCGGGGGAGCACCACAAGGGGUGAAGCCUGCGGUUCAAUUGGAGUCAACGCCAGA